CUAAGUUAUAAUCUCAAAAACUCUUAAUAGUUAUGGUAUUUUGACAAAGCCCAGAGGUCUCUGAGCGCCCGAAAUUAGUAGCUAUUAGGUUAUAUUUCUGCCAGCGUAAUUUCCAUCCUUUCGCUAGAAACUCUCUGUCCGCCAAGUGCUGAAGCAAGAAGCGGGAAGGUGUAUCAAUUGUCUGUCACCGACGGAUCUUGUCGACACCAAAAUCACGUCCCUUCUCUUCCAGCCGUCAUUGACUCUUCAAGCCAUGAUUGACUCAUUCUCUCCAUAAUCAAUAGCAAGAAGCGACCAGCAAGGCACCAACCACCUUUUGGCCCGUCGCAUAUUCACAGGUGUAGGUCAAAAUCAACGAGAACAGGCACGCCUUCCUUCACCUCUUGCAAAAUUGAUCGACAUGAGCCAAAGAAAUAAGAAAAAAAACUGCAGCUCUCCUUUUGUACGUUCUUCGGUUCUUCCUGUUCUGGUUUCAACAAUCACGUCCCCAAAAAUCGAUAUGGCUCUUGUUCUGUCUCCACCUUUUAUCGACGUCACACACACAAGAAUAAAUCGCAGGUAUCAAUAUUAAACUCGAAAUUGGAUCUCUUCUCUUCUUUAAUCGAUCACACCCUUCUUUCUCUUUUUGCUUUCUUGAAACCGAUCACAUGUUCCUGUUGAUCUAGAGUGAAAUAACAAGCCACUAGUUGACUCUUCACCCUUCAAAUGCACUGUUGAAAACUGGUUUUCUUAGUUUCUGAUUUCUUAUUGAUCCAUCCCAAACGAAAUCCCCAAUAAAAAUGUACGAAAUUAGGAAUCUUCUGUUGGAUGAUUAAAAAAUACAGUCUUGAAUGAUGACAUUGAACGAAACUUGUGCAAAAUUGCUUACAUUUACAAGCUCCAAGGCAUAGAUUAACGAUAAUCUGAUAGAAACGAAUGUAAGGAAAUUGUAAGUUGUUUUGAUGCACACCAAGCGCUCGCUAAAAUGCUUCAACUGAAUGAAGCUGAUGCUUGAAAAACGGACCACGAAAUUUGAACGACGCCUCUUAGCAACAUUAUUCUUUUUAGAAUAAAUUAGUGUAUUUGUUAGAUUUUGAUGUUUUUUUUUUCGGAAUUGAAAGUUUUUUAGUUUUAUUCUUUAACAAUAAAUGUAAUUCUUAGCAAUUGUUACAUGUAUUCUAUAAGAAUUAAUAUAAUUUUUAUUUUAAUUCUUCAA